CCCAGGUCAGGGGUGCUUUGCUGCUUGGAAGAGCUGCUUCGUCCAGGAGGGAACGGGAGGAGCGGAAAGCCCGUGCUCAUAUCCAGCGCUGGAUCCGAUGAAAUUCCAGCUGAAGUGAUGUGAAACAAGAGAAGAAAGGCAAGACACAUCCAUGUUUACCUGCGUGCCAGCAGCAGACGCCGCUGGAGGCCAUCACAGCCUUCCCAAAAUAGAGGCCCCUUGAUACCGACUUUCCUGAGAGGACAGAACAGGUCCUUCCCAGUCUGACCUUGACCUGAUUUCCCAGGCUCCCAGGCAUCUGGGCCCUCCUGGCAGUCUCCUGUCCUCAGUGCUCUGGACAACAAAACCUGUGAUUUGCUCAACAGGAUGUGUGUUUCCCAGCUCUCAA
rnacentral:lncRNA from 1 species